rnacentral:rRNA from 1 species
GACGUAGGUGGCAAGCGUUGUUCGGAAUCACUGGGCAUAAAGCGCGCGUAGGCGGCCAAGUCAGUCAGGUGUGAAAUACCUCGGCUCAACCGAGGAACUGCGCCUGAUACUGCUUGGCUUGAGGUCCGGAGGGGAGAGUGGAAUUCCCGGUGGAGCGGUGAAAUGCGUAGAGAUCGGGAAGAACGCCGGCGGCGAAAGCGACUCUCUGGUCGGAAUCUGACGCUGAGGCGCGAAAGCUAGGGGAGCAAACGGG